UACAGAGGUCCCAAGCGUUGUUCGGAUUCACUGGGCGUAAAGGGUGCGUAGGCGGUCGGGUAAGUCUGAUGUGAAAUCUCACAGCUUAACUGUGAAACUGCAUUGGAUACUAUUCGGCUUGAGGUCUGGAGGGGGGACUGGAAUUCUCGGUGUAGCAGUGAAAUGCGUAGAUAUCAGGAGGAACACCUGUGGCGAAAGCGGCUCACUGGACCACAACUGACGCUGAGGCGCGAAAGCUAGGGGAGCAAACAGG
rnacentral:rRNA from 1 species